GAUGAACGUUGGCGGCGUGCCUAAUACAUGCAAGUCGGGCGAACGGACGAGAAGCUUGCUUCUCUGAUGUUAGCGGCGGACGGGUGAGUAACACGUGGAUAACCUACCUAUAAGACUGGGAUAACUUCGGGAAACCGGAGCUAAUACCGGAUAAUAUUUUGAACCGCAUGGUUCAAAAGUGAAAGACGGUCUUGCUGUCACUUAUAGAUGGAUCCGCGCUGCAUUAGCUAGUUGGUAAGGUAACGGCUUACCAAGGCAACGAUGCAUAGCCGACCUGAGAGGGUGAUCGGCCACACUGGAACUGAGACACGGUCCAGACUCCUACGGGAGGCAGCAGUAGGGAAUCUUCCGCAAUGGGCGAAAGCCUGACGGAGCAACGCCGCGUGAGUGAUGAAGGUCUUCGGAUCGUAAAACUCUGUUAUUAGGGAAGAACAUACGUGUAAGUAACUGUGCACAUCUUGACGGUACCUAAUCAGAAAGCCACGGCUAACUACGUG
rnacentral:rRNA from 1 species